AUGUCGACAAGCUAUGGAAGAGGCUGCACUUUUAAGGGAGCGUGUGGAAGCAACCGAUCGAAAAUGGACAUUGUUAUGAACGAAGUCCUAGAGAUGAAAAAUAUGAUGUUAGCUUCUCAGGCUAAAGAAAAGGAGCAAUUCAGUCCACACUAUGAUUCCAAUUCUGCACAAGACGAGUAUAUUUAUGAUGAAGGCGAAAAUAGUGAGACUGGGUACAUGGCUGCUGAAAAGGAGGAUGGUCACGUGAUGUCAAAUAGACCAAUGGUAGAAAGUCAACCAAAACUCACACAACAGAAGAAGCAAGUGCUGGUCCAACAGAUGAAUCAACAACUAGAUCAUCAAAACACAACCGUCACUCAAAAGACUCCCCAAGUUGGACAGGAUGUCAUAUUGUACUCUAUCUCCCGCCCUUAUAACAUACCAGUGGCGAAGGCCACUAUUCAGUCAAUUGAUAGGACGAAGAUAGUGGCGGGUGCCGAACUUGGAUCUCAAUGUUCUGAAGUCGUAGUUAACAUGGUGAUGAAAAAGGAUGCUAUUUUGCAACGCCCUUAUGGGAAUGUGAGGACCAUGGUGAAUGCUCUCAGGCGAUCUAUUGCAUGGCCUCGUAGAUAUAUUGAGGUUGUUCGUAAAGUUAUGCAGAAGCAACCAUGA
rnacentral:rRNA from 1 species